rnacentral:rRNA from 1 species
UACGUAGGACGCAAGCGUUGUCCGGAAUUAUUGGGCGUAAAGAGCUCGUAGGCGGCUUGUCACGUCGGGUGUGAAAGACCGGGGCUUAACCCCGGUUCUGCAUUCGAUACGGGCUGGCUAGAGUGUGGUAGGGGAGAUCGGAAUUCCUGGUGUAGCGGUGAAAUGCGCAGAUAUCAGGAGGAACACCGGUGGCGAAGGCGGAUCUCUGGGCCAUUACUGACGCUGAGGAGCGAAAGCGUGGGGAGCGAACAGG